UACAGAGGGUGCGAGCGUUGUUCGGAAUUAUUGGGCGUAAAGGGUGCGUAGGCGGUCGGGUAAGUCUGAUGUGAAAUCUCACAGCUUAACUGUGAAACUGCAUUGGAUACUAUCCGGCUCGAGGAAUGGAGGGGAGACUGGAAUACUUGGUGUAGCAGUGAAAUGCGUAGAUAUCAAGUGGAACACCAGUGGCGAAGGCGAGUCUCUGGACAUUUCCUGACGCUGAGGCACGAAAGCCAGGGGAGCAAACGGG
rnacentral:rRNA from 1 species